CCUACGGGGGGCAGCAGUGAGGAAUAUUGGUCAAUGGACGAGAGUCUGAACCAGCCAAGUAGCGUGAAGGAUGACUGCCCUAUGGGUUGUAAACUUCUUUUAUAUGGGAAUAAAAUGUUCCACGUGUGGGAUUUUGUAUGUACCAUAUGAAUAAGGAUCGGCUAACUCCGUGCCAGCAGCCGCGGUAAUACGGAGGAUCCGAGCGUUAUCCGGAUUUAUUGGGUUUAAAGGGAGCGUAGGUGGAUUGUUAAGUCAGUUGUGAAAGUUUGCGGCUCAACCGUAAAAUUGCAGUUGAAACUGGCAGUCUUGAGUACAGUAGAGGUGGGCGGAAUUCGUGGUGUAGCGGUGAAAUACUUAGAUAUCACGAAGAACUCCGAUUGCGAAGGCAGUUCACUGGACUGCAACUGACACUGAGGCUCGAAAGUGUGGGUAUCAAACAGGAUUAGAUACCCUAGUAGUC
rnacentral:rRNA from 1 species